UUCACGCAUACAUGGUGGAGCAGGACGUUCAAGAACCAAACGAUGGCCCAAAGUAUGGUACAACAACCUGACAAGUUUCUGCACCGACUUGUUUCCGUCGCCUAGGAAUGCAGACGCAGGUGCCACUGAUGGCAGUGAGCGAGGGCGCCUCCUGGGCAGCCGGACGAGCCCUACUCAUAAUCACAAUUGACAG